rnacentral:rRNA from 2 species
GCUCAGUACGGCGAGUGAGCGGCAAAAGCUCAAAUUUGAAAUCUAGCACCUUCGGUGUUCGAGUUGUAAUUUGAAGAUGGUAACCUUGGGUUUGGCUCUUGUCUAUGUUCCUUGGAACAGGACGUCAUAGAGGGUGAGAAUCCCGUCUGAUGAGAUGCCCAUUCCUAUGUAAGGUGCUAUCGAAGAGUCGAGUUGUUUGGGAAUGCAGCUCUAAGUGGGUGGUAAAUUCCAUCUAAAGCUAAAUAUUGGCGAGAGACCGAUAGCGAACAAGUACAGUGAUGGAAAGAUGAAAAGAACUUUGAAAAGAGAGUGAAAAAGUACGUGAAAUUGUUGAAAGGGAAGGGCAUUAGAUCAGACUUGGUGUUUUACGAUUAUCUUCUCUUCUUGAGUUGUGCACUCGUAUUUCACUGGGCCAGCAUCGAUUCGGAUGGCAAGAUAAUGGCAGUUGAAUGUGGCUUCACUUCGGUGGAGUGUUAUAGCUUCUGCUGAUAUUGCCUGUCUGGAUCGAGGGCUGCGUCUUUUGACUAGGAUGCUGGCGUAAUGAUCUAAUGCCGCCCGUCUUA